ACAGAUAAUAAUUCAUUAUUUGGUGAGAGCUACUCAAGAGACUGAGAUUGUCAAGGCUGAGUAGAGAGAAGAAAAGGAAAAUUCUGAAUUCUAGGUGAAAGCUGAGGAGGAGGAGCCAGAUAGAAGACACACAAGGGGAUGCUCAGAGAAGUAGAAGUAGAUUCAAGGCACAGAAUUAUUAGGGGAAUGAUUUGUUUAUAUGAUGAGAUUUUGAGUUACUUGAAAAGGAAAAGGAAAAAGAAUAAAAGAAAUGACUACAUAUACAAAGGAAGGGAUCAUUUAUGUAGCCAAGUCUAAAAGGUGGGAAUGGGCAGGACCACAGUAAUCAAAUCUUCAGAGAACUGGGAAGGGGUGAGGAUGAAAGUCAGCACACACAAGCUUUAAGGUUCAGUGAACCAGGAUGAUAGGAACCCUAACAUUCUCAGGAAAGCAGAAGGAACCUCAUCAUCUUCAGAGUAUAGAGUCGAAAGGGAAGUGUGGGACUUUAAGGGUGGGAAAAUUAGUCUGGCUCAGUCAGGAAUGGGCCAUCAGGGGUGAAUAAAGAGUGUGUGAAUCUGGUAGAGCCAGUGACUAAAAUGUUAUGUGUUUUCUUGAUGUAAGAAACAAAGUAAAUAGAUGUGAAACAUAUUUUCAAAUACUUUUCUUUAAAAUAACAUUAUUAGAUUGUUUUAGUCGCAACAAGAUAAGUUAAAAAAAAACACAGAUAUCCUCUGUUUACUUAUUUUUCCUGAGAAUAUGAUGAAUAUUUGGCAUGUUAAUCUGCCCUGGCAGCUCAGGAAGUUCAGGCGACUAACACUGAUAAGGCACGUUGCCACCACUGUGAGAACCUCCAUCUUUCAAAGAGGGGAAGGUUGUUUGUAUUUCUCCAGCGCUGCCAGAUCCACCUCUCCAAUUUCUGAUUCAUUCAACACUUAUCAAGUGGUUUUAUCCUCAAAUCCUCUAGGACAACUCCUUCCCUGGCCAACUGCUCUCCUCUUUGCCUAGGGAAUUAUCCAAAGCAAGAAGUGAUCGUACAUACCCUGGAUUCCCAGAUGAUCAUGGAGCAUGACCAUCAUCUGAGAGAUUAACUUCUGGACUGGAAGAGUUUAAAUCUGUUCUCAACGCUCAGACAUGCAUAGCCCCGGGAGGAACCCAGGGCCACAAGUGCAUUCAACGUACAGAUGAUCAGUGUGUCAAUGUAUCCUGCAUUGCACAUUAAUUCCCACAGCUAGCUGCAUUCUUCAUCGACACACAAGCCAAGCAAUCCACCACUAAGAGUCAUAAAAAGCACUUUGAACAACACAGAAAGACAAAAAUACAGCAACAUCAGAAAGGAUCAAUCACAGUGGGAGCAAGCCAACUGCCACAUAAUGGAAGGCACUCAAGCAACCCUAUGGAGAGUCCCACAAGGUAACUGAAGGUUCUGGCCAAAAGAUAGUGAAGAACUGAGGCUUCAUGUCAACAGCUGAGUGAGUGAACUUGAGAGCAGAUUCUCCAGCCCCAGUCAAGCCUUUGGAUUACUGCAGGCUUGGUCAAUCAUCUUUAUUUUGAUUUUAUGAGAGACCUCACUCCUGAACCACCAGAAGAGUCUAUAGUAGUCAUCCUAAAGCUGAAAGACGUUACACUUAAGGAACUACUACAUACAAGAAGUCUCUCCUGGAUCAUAUUUGUAAUAGAUGCCAACAUCAUGGAUUUCCAGCUGAUGUUGUGACUUUGGAGAGGAUAUGGAUGGGAAGAGGUUACUUGCAGGUGAGAAUAAGGUAAACAAUUUGUGUGCAGAGGUUAGACUGUAGGUAGUUCUAAAAUAUGUCCACAAAUUAUUUGCUAUUCCUCCCUUAAAUAGGUGAAGUCUCAUUCCCCUCUCCUUGAGUACAGGCUGAACUUAGCUACUUAUUUCUAACUAAUAGAAUAAAACAGUAGUGACAGUAUGCUACUUUUGAGGGCAAGUCAUAAAGUCACUGUGGUUUUCAUCUUUCUUUCUCUCGGUUCACCCUAGGGAAAGACAAUUCCCAUGUCAUGAAGACACUUCACCGGCCAAGUGGGAAGGCUCACAUCAUGAGCCUAAGGAAACUGAUGCUCAAAGGAUUAUGUUAAGGAUCAAGGAAAAGACAACUAGCAAGAGUGCUUUGUAAAUCAUAAUAUGCCAAAUACAAUCUUAACUAUAGUUCUGCAAAAAUAGGAAUGAUAUUAAAUUGAGAGUCAUAACUUGGAGUUGCCCUGACACCAGAGUCUAGAGAACACCUAAAUGAACCAGAGAAGAGGGCAGAAAAGGCAUCCCUUGGGGAAGAAAGAAGAUCUGGUGUACUAAAGAACUCUGCUGUGGAAUAAAAGAAUAAGAAUUAGGGUUUACUUGAUAGCUUCUAACAAAGGGUGUCAAGAAGUGCAAAACACCAAAGAAUAUCCCAGCAGUUAAGGGCAUGGACAUCAUUCUGCCUGGUUUUGAAUUCUGGCUCUGCCAUGUGACCAUGUGGCAAGCUAUCUGACCUUUCUGUGACUCUGUGUUCUCACCUGUGAAAAUGGAAAUAAUAAUUGUACCCAUCAGCCAGGCGUGGCAGAUCACACCUGUAAUCCCAGCAC
rnacentral:lncRNA from 1 species